UACCAUGCAGUCGAGCGAGACCUUCGGGUCUAGCGGCGGACGGGUUAGUAACGCGUGGGAACGUGCCCUUCUCUGCGGAAUAGCCACUGGAAACGGUGAGUAAUACCGCAUACGCCCUUCGGGGGAAAGAUUUAUCGGAGAAGGAUCGGCCCGCGUUAGAUUAGAUAGUUGGUGGGGUAACGGCCUACCAAGUCUACGAUCUAUAGCUGGUUUUAGAGGAUGAUCAGCAACACUGGGACUGAGACACGGCCCAGACUCCUACGGGAGGCAGCAGUGGGGAAUCUUAGACAAUGGGCGCAAGCCUGAUCUAGCCAUGCCGCGUGUGUGAUGAAGGUCUUAGGAUCGUAAAGCACUUUCGCCAGGGAUGAUAAUGACAGUACCUGGUAAAGAAACCCCGGCUAACUCCGUGCCAGCAGCCGCGGUAA
rnacentral:rRNA from 1 species